rnacentral:rRNA from 1 species
UAGUCCACGCUGUAAACGAUGAUUACUAGUUGUUGGCGAUACACAGUCAGUGACCAAGCGAAAGUGAUAAGUAAUCCACCUGGGGAGUACGUUCGCAAGAAUGAAACUCAAAGGAAUUGACGGGGGGCCCGCACAAGCGGUGGAGCAUGUGGUUUAAUUCGAUGAUACGCGAGGAACCUUACCAGGGCUUAAAUGUAUGUUGACCGAUCUGGAAACAGAUUUUCUUUUUAAGCAAUAUACAAGGUGCUGCAUGGUUGUCGUCAGCUCGUGCCGUGAGGUGUCGGGUUAAGUCCCUUAACGAGCGCAACCCCUAUUUCUAGUUGCCAGCAUGUAAUGAUGGGGACUCUAGAGAAACUGCCCGCGCAAGGCGGUGAGGGAAGGGUGGGGACGACGUCAAGUCAUCACGGGCCCUUACGUCCAGGGGCUACACACGUGCUACAA